rnacentral:rRNA from 1 species
GAUGAACGCUGGCGGCGUGCCUAAUACAUGCAAGUCGAGCGAACAGAUAAGGAGCUUGCUCCUUUGACGUUAGCGGCGGACGGGUGAGUAACACGUGGGUAACCUACCUAUAAGACUGGGAUAACUUCGGGAAACCGGAGCUAAUACCGGAUAACAUCUUGAACCGCAUGGUUCUAUAGUGAAAGACGGUUUUGCUAUCACUUAUAGAUGGAUCCGCGCCGUAUUAGCUAGUUGGUAAGGUAACGGCUUACCAAGGCGACGAUGCGUAGCCGACCUGAGAGAGUGGUAGGCCACACUGGAACUGAGACACGGUCCAGACUCCUACGGGAGGCAGCAGUAGGGAAUCUUCCGCAAUGGGCGAAAGCCUGACGGAGCAACGCCGCGUGAGUGAUGAAGGGUUUCGGCUCGUAAAACUCUGUUAUUAGGGAAGAACAAACGUGUAAGUAACUGUGCACGUCUUGACGGUACCUAAUCAGAAAGCCACGGCUAACUACGUG